GUUCCCGUACAAUCACCGAAGUUAAGCAACGUCGAGCCUGGUCAGUACCUAGUUGGGCAACCACUUGGGAAUUCCAGGUGCUGUAA